UCCUUACCCAGAUCUCUGUUUCUUUUACUAGUUUUUGUUAAAACUAUUAGGUUUUUGUUCGCUUUCUAACCAUUCCUUUGGAUAAAUAGAAGUGCGGUGGCGACUCGACUUGUAUAUAUUAGGUUUUUGUUCGCUUUCUAACCAUUCCUUUGGAUAAAUAGAAGUGCGGUGGCGACUCGACUUGUAUGAUUUACCUUGGAUUUAGUCAAUAUCUCUAAUGGUAACGAAUACCCCGCUACA
rnacentral:lncRNA from 1 species